rnacentral:rRNA from 1 species
CCUACGGGAGGCAGCAGUGGGGAAUCUUGCGCAAUGGGCGAAAGCCUGACGCAGCCAUGCCGCGUGAAUGAUGAAGGUCUUAGGAUUGUAAAAUUCUUUCACCGGGGACGAUAAUGACGGUACCCGGAGAAGAAGCCCCGGCUAACUUCGUGCCAGCAGCCGCGGUAAUACGAAGGGGGCUAGCGUUGCUCGGAAUUACUGGGCGUAAAGGGAGCGUAGGCGGAUAGUUUAGUCAGAGGUGAAAGCCCAGGGCUCAACCUUGGAAUUGCCUUUGAUACUGGCUAUCUUGAGUGUGGGAGAGGUAUGUGGAACUCCGAGUGUAGAGGUGAAAUUCGUAGAUAUUCGGAAGAACACCAGUGGCGAAGGCGACAUACUGGCCCAUUACUGACGCUGAGGCUCGAAAGCGUGGGGAGCAAACAGGAUUAGAUACCCUGGUAGUCCACGCUGUAAACGAUGAGUGCUAGUUGUCGGCAUGCAUGCAUGUCGGUGACGCAGCUAACGCAUUAAGCACCUCCGCCGUCGGGGAGGUACGGUCGGCGAAGAAUUAAAACUUAAAAUUAGUAAGUUAGUACGGCGUGAGACGUCGCCGACGGACGACGACGAGGGGAGGUUAGG